GACGAACGCUGGCGGCGUGCUCAACACAUGCAAGUCGAACGGAAAGGCCCUGCUUUUGUGGGGUGCUCGAGUGGCGAACGGGUGAGUAACACGUGAGUAACCUGCCCUUGACUUUGGGAUAACUUCAGGAAACUGGGGCUAAUACCGGAUAGGAGCUCCUGCUGCAUGGUGGGGGUUGGAAAGUUUCGGCGGUUGGGGAUGGACUCGCGGCUUAUCAGCUUGUUGGUGGGGUAGUGGCUUACCAAGGCUUUGACGGGUAGCCGGCCUGAGAGGGUGACCGGCCACAUUGGGACUGAGAUACGGCCCAGACUCCUACGGGAGGCAGCAGUGGGGAAUAUUGCACAAUGGGCGGAAGCCCGAUGCAGCAACGCCGCGUGCGGGAUGACGGCCUUCGGGUUGUAAACCGCUUUCGCCUGUGACGAAGCGUGAGUGACGGUAAUGGGUAAAGAAGCACCGGCUAACUACGUG
rnacentral:rRNA from 1 species